AACAUAGGAAGAGAGAGGCACAAUGAAAGAUUCAUGAUUGGACAAGUGACCUGUUACAUAGGGGAAACCUGCAGACUCAGUAUCUAAUAAUAGCCACCUGCCCAUUCCUUAAACUAAUGUUAACUAGUAAGCUGGAUUGUUUUUUCAAUGCCCCCAAAAGCAGAGAAGAAAUCAUUGCUAGAGCAUUGCAAUGCAUGUUAGAGAACUGGUUUAAUGCAAAGACUACAUUUUUCAAAACUACUAAGUAUCUGGAUUUCUGUAACUAAUUUCUACCACCAAAUAGGAAGUUAGAGAUAGUGUAAUGGCUUGUAUAUGUUUGGGCAGAGGAGUGGCACUAUUAGGAGGUGUGACCUUGUUGGAGUAGGUGUGUCAUUGUGGAUAUGGGUUUUAAUACCCUACCCCUAGCUGCCUGGAAGGAAGUAUUCUGCUAGCAGCCUUCAGAUGAAAAUGUGGAACUCUUAGCUCCUCCUGCACCAUGCCUGCCUAGAUGCUGCCAUGCUCCUGCCUUGAUGAUAAUGGACUGAACCUCUGAAUCUGUUUACAGCAAUGAACCGAAGCAGGCAUCUGAGGAGCCAGAGAGGAACUGAUGGGAAGAGCAUCCUCCUAGAGCCUCUGUUUGCCGUGAUCUAUAAAAUGGAGCUCAGCAUUCAUUUACAUCAGAGUAAGCAAGGAGGAUUAUCUGACAUAACAUGUAAAGGACGGGCAUCGUGUUGAGGGUAGUACACAUGCGAUAAGUCAGAUGAUUUUGUGUUUUGUGCAUCCUCCAAUUUUAAAACUGCCUAAUUACCACCAGUAGGUAACGUUUCCUAUUUGUCACUGUUUAAGGAAACCAAGAAGACAAAUGAUGUGUCUAUUAUCGUAAGAGUCCCCUACACCCUGAAAUAUUCAAAAAUAGCGUGUAACUUGCAGGAGUCAGUCCUCUCCUUCCACCACAUCACUCAUGAUGAUCAAACUCAUGUGGCCAGCAGCUGCAUUUAUCCAUGGAGCCAUCUUGCCAGGCCAUGACCUGGGAAGGACAUCAGCAUGAGGAUACAGGUGAAACUGAAUUGGCUGUGAGUUUGUAAUAGUAAAGCUGAAUGGUGGAUAUGUAGUGGUUGUAUGUAUUUUUCUGUCUGAUAAAUGUUUUAAUUUUUUCCAUGACAAAAAUAAGAGAAAGAAAGAAAACUAGGAGAAAGAAAAGAAUUGGUAACUAUGGGGUUCAAAAAGUAUCUGUUAAAACUAUUCCAGGCUUAAGACAAAGGAAAAGGGAUGAGGAUUUUUUUUUCCUUUUACACAGAAUAACUAGAAAUCCCUAGAAAGAUGCCAGGUGGCUCAAGACAAAGAUAUACUGUCACACUUAUGGAUGAGAUUAGUUUCCAAUUGGCUUCAAAUUGAUUCCAGGGUCAGGAGUUUUAGAAGAAGCUCCAUAAAUAACUUGCAUAGUGGAACUAUGUAUAAUAAUCACUCAUUUGACAUUUUCUGCUUUCCAGUUUUUAUUUUUAAAUGCAUAUAAAAUUUCUCAGCUAUGAGCCUUUUUUUUCUCUUCCUACAUCUGGUACCCAUGAUACACAAAAGGCCAGUUCUCUAUUUUUAGCUUUUGUGGGUCUGAGCAUUACUUCUAGGUUCAAUAGAUUAAAAUGUUCAUUGAUACAUGUUUGGAGGACAAGGUAAUUUCAUAAGCUGGGUGCUGAAUAUCAAUGGACUCAUGUAGAAUUAUGAUGAUUUUGAUAAAAUAUAAUAAUGUCUUAUUAACUGCAUAAACCACUGAAGCAUAAUAUGAAGUGUUGACAUAGUAAUCAAAAUCAAACUAACAGAGGUGUCCCCACUUGUAUUUGUGAAACCACGAUACUUAUAAAGCUUAGUAACUGUAUUAAAACAGCUUUCUAUAUAUUCCUGCCUGUGUUGAUGAGUAUCAAGUCUCAAUUAGUGGGCCAACCACAUUAUUUUUCAAAUUAAUGUCUAAUUUGUAAAUAUCUAUUAUAUCUUUGCUUGGGCCGUAAAAACUCGUAAGAAAAAUCAAUUUCUGCCUAAAACAAAACGAAACAAAACCAAAAGCUGAACGUUAGAAUUCACCUUAGAAGCAAAGCCUUCUACAACAUUUGCUGUUUGCUUGUCUCGAAUUGACCUCCACACUAGCUUGCAUAAGAAGGACAAAUUCUAGAUCAUAGAAAUCAUGAUCUAGAACUUGCUUAAACUCAUAAAUAUAGAUGACAAGGUCCUUUCGGAUCUGUCUCCAAUGCCACAUCUCAGAGCGACAGGAAAUCCUCUUCGUGAAUCAUUCUGUGUGGAUUGACUUGAACUUUACAUAACCAGUGGACAGCUUUGUGGCUGCUGUAAGGGAUUGCAAACCUCCAGUUGCAUUAAACUUGUUAUAGCAAGGGUGUCUGCACUUGGAAAGAUUCCAACUGGUGCUCCACCAGGGAAAUUUUUCCUUUAUACUUAUCCUUGAUGGUUUAUGCUUGAUGUAGCAGUUUGGUCAGGUAGAAAACCUGGCUCUCAUCAUUUCUGGUUUCAAACUGUCUCUUAACACCCUAAGACUGAAAUAAUGAGUGAGUCUUCUUCACUGUUUCUUCAAACAAAUGUUUCUCAAAAUCAUAGAGAAAUAUCUAGUCCCCCACACCCAAGUAAUUCAUUGCUAUUUCAAUUUGUUCCUGGAAACAUGCAAAUUACAAUGUUUUGUAUUAAGGAAAUGUAUCUUCUAUUAUGUUAAAUUGUGAAAAAUAAUGUGUGUGUUCUUAGCCAUACUAAAGACAAUCAUUAAAAUACUCUUAAGCCU
ensembl:antisense Gm15169 predicted gene 15169